UGUAAAAUGAAUUAGCAAUGCCA
rnacentral:piRNA from 2 species